rnacentral:lncRNA from 1 species
CAAAAUUGCUCAGUGCCUGGAGCAGAACAGAAGGGACAAACUAGCAAAGAGCCUGCUGAGAAUAGAGAAGGGGGAAUCUACAUUGGUGCUGUUGCAUCAAGUGUUCAUCCUGUGUCAGAGAUGCAAAAAGAAGGGUCCUUGUCUCCAAUGAGACAUCUCAAUCACUGCCAAACAGUGCAGCCUUGCUUGGAGGAGCAUGUCCUGGGCACGGACGGCUCCUGCAUCAGUCUCUGGGGAAGUGCAGGCAAAUUAUGAAAUGAAGAAUGCUAUCAUGUGGAUCUUCAGGGAAGAAGUCAAACAGUAACAUUCUUCAGUUAUGUUUGAAUAUUUAAAUGAAGCUUUCAUGUGCACAAGUUGCAGUACUGGUGUUCUGCUGUCUCAUUUGUAAGUGC